UCCUCCACAAAAAUGGCUACCUUCCUUUUUAUCGCAACGUUUAUGCUUAUUGUGUUUGCAUCAUUUGUACGAUGCCCACCUCCUUCCCUCCCUAAACCACCAUUCGCAGUGGUUGCUUUUGAGUGGCCUAUGGCCUUAUGCACAAUCAAACAUGGGUGCAAUAAGACCCCUCCAGCCAAUCUUCGACUGCACGGAGUAUGGCCAACACAUGGAAAUGGUUCAAGAAUGGAGUAUUGCACAAACCAUCCUUUCAGUGGUUCAGCUUUGAAUGAUAUAAGGAAAGACCUUCUGUAUUACUGGCCAAGUUAUUAUCAACCAGAAAACCAAUUCUGGAAAUAUGAAUGGGAAAAACACGGAACUUGCUCCGGCCAACCCGUCAAAGAGUAUUUUCAAAAUUCAAUGACACUCUUCACAAAGAUGUACCAGAGGAUUUUCACUACACUAGUACGAAACGGUAAGUGUUCCGAGUAUGGAACUGGGAGGACGUUCCGAAGUGCCUUGGCCCUGUCAAGCAGAGCAAACGUGAGCUAACCUCGGGGGUUUAACCGAGGAAACCCCCUCCGAUGCCUAAGUCAGCAAAUAGAUAAGAAGUCUUUAGAGAGCGAAUAUAGAGAGAAGGUGGAGCAAGUACCGUGUGUAAGAAUGUGUCCCAUCAUGAGUGAUGUGGGUGCUAUUUAUAGGCGUACUAUUCUGUACUUUGGCCUAUUUGGAUUCCGCCACGUGUAUGACGGCGAUGUACUUUAUUCUUUGUCGUUGUCGUUUAGCCUGCGGGUCCUUUCUUGGACUGAUGCAACUUUGUCUGGCUCUGCUCUAUGUCCUAUAUGUGAUAUGGGGAGGUUUGAUCUGCCUGGGUUGCGUAUGCUUGGCUUGGGGCUUAGAGUCUUUCUUUGACUUGGGUGUGUCCUGGGUGUCAGAGUUUGCUCUGUCAUUAAUGUUCUGUCCUCUCUGGAUAUGACCCCGUACAACUAGUCCCUCAAGAGUAGAGCUGACUUUUUAAGUCAGGUCUGCUCUUCUGUUCUUGAUCUGGCCUCUUUGGGGCUGUAAUGCUUGUUUUGUUGGCUUUUUGCUUUUGUCCUGGUUAUGUAUUCUCUUGCUACCAGUCCCUCAAGAGUAGAUCUAAUUUCUCGAAUUAGGUCUGCUCUUUUUUUUUUUUUUUUUUUGGGCGGGCUUUCUUUGGGGUGAAAUGGUAAGAAAUCUUUGGGGAUUUUAACCGGCUUUUCCUUGUGCCACGCGUUGCCCAUCUGAAGAGUCAAUUGGAAUCGUCGCUCAAUCUGGACCGUCCUUCGUCAUGCUUGAGUUCAGUUGAACUGAGGUCUACACGUGUCCUUCAUCCUGCUUGUGCAACUGUAUCGUUGCUCGCAUCCUAGCCGUUCUUCUUUGGCUUCUUAAAAAAAAAGUGUUUUCGCUGCUUGUGGUGGUCAUUUGCCCUUCGUGUUUUCAUUUGCCAUUUCGCGAAGGGAGGUUUCCGUCGCCGUGUUCCUUUUGAUUCUAACCCUAUCUUCCUUUUCCGACGCCGGGAAUCUAUUUUUCGUUCUAUGAUGGCCAACCAUGUCACUAUUUCUGUGGAUGAGCAAGCUGGUGGGGAAGAUAUUUUGGCCCAGGUAAACGAGAUGAGGCCUUUUCCAAACUACGUGGAAGAGAAUGUCGUUCCUGGGGAUUCGACGCCCUUCCUUUCUGAGGCCUCUGCUUUUGGUCCCUUACACGCGAAGCUGAAUGUUAAGUGGACUGAUGAUGCGCGAAAAGAGAAUCACGCUGUUGUUGGUAAAGAGUUUUAUGGUCUGCCUGAUGGUUAUCGACUUAUCGUGCCAGACGACGAUGCUCGGAUCACUCAUCCACCAGAGGGAUGCAUAGGCGUUUAUGCCUAUAGUCUGGACUUUGGUUUGCGAUUUCCUCUGCAUCCUACCUUGGUGAAGAUUCUUCGCGCGUUUAAUGUUUGCUUAGCUCAGCUCCACCCCUUCGCUGUACGUACUUUGAUCAGCUAUAUUUGGGUCUGUCGGUUUUUGGAGUUCCCUGAGACCCUUUCUCUCUGUAAGCGAGUCCAUCAUCUGCGCAACAGUGGUACUGGGAACAAGAUUGGUUGGUUUUCCAUCUAUUGCAAUCGUGGAAGAUUGACCUGCCAUGGGAUGCCUACCGGUCAAAAGGAGUGGAAGGAUAGGUUUUAUUGGCUCGCUGUCCCUGCUGACUUUCCUGUUGCUCGGGGUUUUGUUCGGCCUCGGACUCGACUAGAGGGAGUCGAGAUUGUAGAUGGUGUUGUCCUGGAGGAGAGGGCUUUUGAGCAUUUUUCAUCCGAGCCGAAGUUUAAUGCUGCCGGUAAAGAGGUUGGGCGGUUGCCUCGUGUUUGGCUUCCGCAUUCAAGUUAUGUUCUGCGGAAUGACGUGUUGUUCGCUAUGUUUCUUUGUUCUACUCACCCUCAAGGUCGUCGAUUCUUGAACCUUGAGGAAUUGGGUGUUCGGGCUGAUGGUUCCUUCAUCUGCGCUGCUCCCCCCGAUCCCGCUGCGAAUGGGUAUCAAAUUUUGGCUGACCAGAUAGAGGGCAGCCGGAGAAGUACUACACGCCGAUCUGGUCGGGGUGGCGGUUCUGGGAUCGUUCCUAGAGUGUCCCGGGUGGUUUCCUCUACACCCACUGGCUCUGUGAGCACUCCUAUUCGUCGAGGGCAGACCUCUCGCGGGGCUUCCCAUCGCGGUGCCCUGUCAGGCUCUCGUCGUGACCGAGCUGAUUUCGAGGCUGGGCUCGAAGCUCCAACAGAGGAUGCAGGUCAUGACUUUGGGGAAGUGGCUGAUGAGGUACGUGACCAUCCAGGUCGUUCGGGCUCUGCGUCCGAUCCUGUGGACAUCGAAGCUGAAGAGCCGCCUUUUGUUCAGCGUCCUGGGAAACAACCCAUGCUUGAUGGUGGGGCUGAGCUACUCCGAGCCUCCCCUUCUGCGGCUGAUCCCCAUCGCAGCAACAACUCUGGUAGUUCCCUUCGACAGUUUUUGGAGCAAGAGAUUCAAGGAAACGAUCUGGCUGCUGAUGAUCUUGACCUGCAUAUCACAGGUCGGCAUAAGGAGUUUGCUGAGAAAGAAUUUCUCGCAUUCGUCCCCAGGCCGACCCUGAGCUGGCUGCUAUCUUCUCCGGUCCUUCUGCUUCGGAUCGUACUUUUGUUCCGCGCUGGGACGUAUCAGAAUCAGAAAGCUUAUAUGGGAACUACCUUGAGAAAGGCGGGACACUUGCCCUGAGGAUGUUGAGAGGCCUGCAGUUACCCAGCGACUUGCCCAAGGAGCGUUUGUACACCCCUGGGGCGAAUGCUUGUCAGAAGGUCAUGGAGUGUGGCAACGCUGUUCGUGAGUUGACAGAAGUUUUCAUAGUUUACCAGAAACGACUUGCUGCCAACGCUGCUCAUAUAGAGGCCCAAAAGAAGAGAAUUGAGGAGCUAACUGAUGAUCUGGAGCUAUCUUCGACCUGCCUCACUUCGGCCAAUGAUCAAUUGAAGCUUGUUACUGAAGAGCGUGAUCAGCUGCAGACUAACUUUUCCCAGGCCCAAAUUGAUCUGGUUACCGAGCA